rnacentral:SRP_RNA from 1 species
GCCAGACAUGGUGGUGUGUGCCUGUAGUCCCAGCUACUCAGGAGGCUAAGGCUGGAGGAUUGCUUGAUUACAGGAGUUCUGGGCUGUAGUGCCCUAUGCUGAUUGGGUGUCUGCACUAAGUUCCGCGUAAAUAUGGUGACCUUCUGGGAGUGGGGGACCACCUGGUUGCCUAAGGAGGGGUGAACCUGCCCAGGUCAGAAACAGAGGAGGUCAAAACUCCUGUGCUGAUCAGUAGUGGGAUUGCGCCUGUGAAUAGCCACUGCACUCCAGCCUGGGCAACAUAGCAAGACCCCGUCUCU